rnacentral:snRNA from 1 species
AACUUUACUCUGUGGCAAUAUUGUAUCCAACGAAGUUUAUCCAAGGCACAGUUAUUGCUACUUGAAAAAAUUAAGU